AGCAGCCGCGGUAAUUCCAGCUCCAAUAGCGUAUAUUAAAGUUGUUGCAGUUAAAAAGCUCGUAGUUGAAUUUCGGGAUCAGUACGCUGGUCGUGCCUUCGGUAUGAACUGGUGUCACUGGUUCCUCCCUUCUGAAGAACCGUCAUGCCAUUCAGUUGGUGUGGCGGGGAAUCAGGACUGUUACUUUGAAAAAAUUAGAGUGUUUAAAGCAGGCUCGCGCUUGAAUACAUUAGCAUGGAAUAAUGAAAUAGGACGUUUGACCCUAUUUUGUUGGUUUCUAGGAUCGACGUAAUGAUUAAUAGGGAUAGUUGGGGGCAUUAGUAUUCAAUUGUCAGAGGUGAAAUUCUUGGAUUUAUUGAAGACUAACUACUGCGAAAGCAUUUGCCAAGGAUGUUUUCAUUAAUCAAGAACGAAAGUUAGGGGAUCGAAGACGAUCAGAUACCGUCGUAGUCUUAACCAUAAACUAUGCCGACUAGGGAGCGGAUGAUGUUAAUUUUUAAUGACUCAUUCG
rnacentral:rRNA from 1 species